CGAACUGAGUGCCUAUAUUUACAUUUGGACUUGAACUUGAAUUUAAAGUGCCAUACUUUGAUUUUCAUAUGUUUAUUUUCUGAAUGUGAUUUGAGUAAUUGUGGUCCACUUGAUUUAAAUGUGUUUGAAGGUAUUUUGCAACCUGUAAAAGAAAGGAAAGGAGUUAACUCAGGAAAAAUUUAAAUCUUAAAAUAGGUGCAACCUAUGAAAAAGAUACUGGUCUAAUUAAUCCAAAUUAGUCUAAUUAAAAUAACCUAGGUGAACUAAAGAGCAAAAAGAAAGAGUGAUAUAUUCUUUUUUUUUCCUUCUCCCUUUUCCUCCCAAUUUAUACUUACCUCAUUAUUAAGAAUCUGCAGAGUAUUUUUGGUUUCAUGUAUUGUAUUUUAUGUGUGUUUUGCAUUCAUUAAAUUGCCGGCCAUUUUCACUUAA